rnacentral:rRNA from 1 species
GACGAACGCUGGCGGCGUGCUUAACACAUGCCAGUCGAACGGAAAGGCCCUGCUUUUGUGGGGUGCUCGAGUGGCGAACGGGUAAGUAACACGCGAGUAACCUGCCCUUGACUUUGGGAUAACUUCAGGAAACUGGGGCUAAUACCGGAUAGGAGCUCCUGCUGCAUGGUGGGGGUUGGAAAGUUUCGGCGGUUGGGGAUGGACUCGCGGCUUAUCAGCUUGUUGGUGGGGUAGUGGCUUACCAAGGCUUUGACGGGUAGCCGGCCUGAGAGGGUGACCGGCCACAUUGGGACUGAGAUACGGCCCAGACUCCUACGGGAGGCAGCAGUGGGGAAUAUUGCACAAUGGGCGGAAGCCUGAUGCAGCAACGCCGCGUGCGGGAUGACGGCCUUCGGGUUGUAAACCGCUUUCGCCUGUGACGAAGCGUGAGUGACGGUAAUGGGUAAAGAAGCACCGGCUAACUACGUG